GCUGGGCAUAGUGGCCCAUGCCUGUAAUCCCAGCACUUUAGGAGGCUGAGGCAGGUGGAUUGCUUGAGCCCAGGAGUUUGAGACCAGCCUGGGCAACAGUGAAUCCCUGUCUCUACAAAAAACACAAACAUCCGCCGGGCAUGGUGGUGUGUACCUGUAAUCCCAGCCACUGGGGAGGCUGAGGUGGGAGGAUCGCUUGAGCUCAGGAGGUCCAGACCACAGUGAGCUGUGAUUGUGCCACUGCACUCCAGCCUGGGUAAGAGAGCAAGAACCUGUCUCA
ensembl:misc_RNA Metazoa_SRP Metazoan signal recognition particle RNA